GUGGGGAAUUUUGGACAAUGGGCGCAAGCCUGAUCCAGCAAUGCCGCGUGCAGGAAGAAGGCCUUCGGGUUGUAAACUGCUUUUGUACGGAACGAAACGGUCCUGGUUAAUACCUGGGGCUAAUGACGGUACCGUAAGAAUAAGCACCGGCUAACUACGUGCCAGCAGCCGCGGUAAUACGUAGGGUGCGAGCGUUAAUCGGAAUUACUGGGCGUAAAGCGUGCGCAGGCGGUGCUGUAAGACAGGCGUGAAAUCCCCGGGCGCAACCUGGGAAUUGCGCUUGUGACUGCAGUGCUGGAGUACGGCAGAGGGGGAUGGAAUUCCGCGUGUAGCAGUGAAAUGCGUAGAUAUGCGGAGGAACACCGAUGGCGAAGGCAGUCCCCUGGGCCUGUACUGACGCUCAUGCACGAAAGCGUGGGGAGCAAACAGGAUUAGAUACCCGUGUAGUCC
rnacentral:rRNA from 1 species